AAUAGAUACCCGGUAGUCCACGCCGUAAACGAUGAGUGCUAAGUGUUAGAGGGUUUCCGCCCUUUAGUGCUGAAGUUAACGCAUUAAGCACUCCGCCUGGGGAGUACGGCCGCAAGGCUGAAACUCAAAGGAAUUGACGGGGGCCCGCACAAGCGGUGGAGCAUGUGGUUUAAUUCGAAGCAACGCGAAGAACCUUACCAGGUCUUGACAUCCUCUGACAACCCUAGAGAUAGGGCUUCUCCUUCGGGAGCAGAGUGACAGGUGGUGCAUGGUUGUCGUCAGCUCGUGUCGUGAGAUGUUGGGUUAAGUCCCGCAACGAGCGCAACCCUUGAUCUUAGUUGCCAUCAUUUAGUUGGGCACUCUAAGGUGACUGCCGGUGACAAACCGGAGGAAGGUGGGGAUGACGUCAAAUCAUCAUGCCCCUUAUGACCUGGGCUACACACGUGCUACAAUGGACGGUACAAAGAGCUGCAAGACCGCGAGGUGGAGCUAAUCUCAUAAAACCGUUCUCAGUUCGGAUUGUAGG
rnacentral:rRNA from 1 species